UACGUAGGGGGCGAGCGUUGUCCGGAAUUACUGGGCGUAAAGGGCGCGUAGGCGGCCUUCUAAGUCGAACGUGAAAUCCCUGGGCUCAACCCAGGAACUGCGUCCGAUACUGGAAGGCUUGAAUCCGGGAGAGGGAUGCGGAAUUCCAGGUGUAGCGGUGAAAUGCGUAGAUAUCUGGAGGAACACCGGUGGCGAAGGCGGCAUCCUGGACCGGUAUUGACGCUGAGGCGCGAAAGCCAGGGGAGCAAACGGG
rnacentral:rRNA from 1 species